AUUGAACGCUGGCGGCAGGCCUAACACAUGCAAGUCGAACGAGUGGCGGACGGGAGGGCAAUGUCUGGGAAAUUGCCUGAUGGAGGGGGAUAACUACUGGACACGGUUGCCAAUCCCGCAUACCUGCGGCUGUGCCAAGAUGGCAUUAGCUAGUGGGUGGGGUAUAGGCUCACCUAGGCGCCGAUCCCUAGCUGGUCUGAGAGGAUGACCAGCCACACUGGAACUGAGACACGGUCCAGACUCCUACGGGAGGCAGCAGUGGGGAAUAUUGCACAAUGGGCGAAAGCCUGAUGCAGCCAUGCCGCGUGUGUGAAGAAGGUCUUCGGAUUGUAAAGUACUUUCAGCGGGGAGGCGGUACUCACAGAAAAAGCACCGGCUAACUACGUGCCAGCAGCCGCGGUAAUAC
rnacentral:rRNA from 1 species